AGUGAACGCUGGCGGUAGGCCUAACACAUGCAAGUCGAACGGCAGCACAGAGUAGCUUGCUCCUUGGGUGGCGAGUGGCGGACGGGUGAGGAAUACAUCGGAAUCUACUCUGUCGUGGGGGAUAACGUAGGGAAACUUACGCUAAUACCGCAUACGACCUACGGGUGAAAGCAGGGGAUCUUCGGACCUUGCGCGAUUGAAUGAGCCGAUGUCGGAUUAGCUAGUUGGCGGGGUAAAGGCCCACCAAGGCGACGAUCCGUAGCUGGUCUGAGAGGACGAUACGCCACACUGGACCUGAGACACGGUCCAGACUCCUACGGGAGGCAGCAGUGGGGAAUAUUGGACAAUGGGCGCAAGCCUGAUCCAGCCAUACCGCGUGGGUGAAGAAGGCCUUCGGGUUGUAAAGCCCUUUUGUUGGGAAAGAAAUCCAUCUGGUUAAUACCCGGGUGGGAUGACGGUACCCAAAGAAUAAGCACCGGCUAACUUCGUGCCAGCAGCCGCAGUAA
rnacentral:rRNA from 1 species